rnacentral:rRNA from 1 species
AAAUUGAAGAGUUUGAUCAUGGCUCAGAUUGAACGCUGGCGGCAGGCCUAACACAUGCAAGUCGAACGGUAACAGGAAGCAGCUUGCUGCUUCGCUGACGAGUGGCGGACGGGUGAGUAAUGUCUGGGAAACUGCCUGAUGGAGGGGGAUAACUACUGGAAACGGUGGCUAAUACCGCAUAACGUCGCAAGACCAAAGAGGGGGACCUUCGGGCCUCUUGCCAUCAGAUGUGCCCAGAUGGGAUUAGCUUGUUGGUGAGGUAACGGCUCACCAAGGCGACGAUCCCUAGCUGGUCUGAGAGGAUGACCAGCCACACUGGAACUGAGACACGGUCCAGACUCCUACG